rnacentral:rRNA from 1 species
UUAGGGUUUGAUCCUGGCUCAGAUUGAACGCUGGCGGCAGGCCUAACACAUGCAAGUCGAGCGGUAGCACAGAGAGCUUGCUCUCGGGUGACGAGCGGCGGACGGGUGAGUAAUGUCUGGGAAACUGCCUGAUGGAGGGGGAUAACUACUGGAAACGGUAGCUAAUACCGCAUAAUGUCGCAAGACCAAAGUGGGGGACCUUCGGGCCUCAUGCCAUCAGAUGUGCCCAGAUGGGAUUAGCUAGUAGGUGGGGUAACGGCUCACCUAGGCGACGAUCCCUAGCUGGUCUGAGAGGAUGACCAGCCACACUGGAACUGAGACACGGUCCAGACUCCUACGGGAGGCAGCAGUGGGGAAUAUUGCACAAUGGGCGCAAGCCUGAUGCAGCCAUGCCGCGUGUGUGAAGAAGGCCUUCGGGUUGUAAAGCACUUUCAGCGGGGAGGAAGGCGUUAAGGUUAAUAACCUUGGCGAUUGACGUUACCCGCAGAAGAAGCACCGGCUAACUCCGUGCCAGCAGCCGCGGUAAUACGGAGGGUGCAAGCGUUAAUCGGAAUUACUGGGCGUAAAGCGCACGCAGGCGGUCUGUCAAGUCGGAUGUGAAAUCCCCGGGCUCAACCUGGGAACUGCAUUCGAAACUGGCAGGCUAGAGUCUUGUAGAGGGGGGUAGAAUUCCAGGUGUAGCGGUGAAAUGCGUAGAGAUCUGGAGGAAUACCGGUGGCGAAGGCGGCCCCCUGGACAAAGACUGACGCUCAGGUGCGAAAGCGUGGGGAGCAAACAGGAUUAGAUACCCUGGUAGUCCACGCCGUAAACGAUGUCGAUUUGGAGGUUGUGCCCUUGAGGCGUGGCUUCCGGAGCUAACGCGUUAAAUCGACCGCCUGGGGAGUACGGCCGCAAGGUUAAAACUCAAAUGAAUUGACGGGGGCCCGCACAAGCGGUGGAGCAUGUGGUUUAAUUCGAUGCAACGCGAAGAACCUUACCUGGUCUUGACAUCCACAGAACUUUCCAGAGAUGGAUUGGUGCCUUCGGGAACUGUGAGACAGGUGCUGCAUGGCUGUCGUCAGCUCGUGUUGUGAAAUGUUGGGUUAAGUCCCGCAACGAGCGCAACCCUUAUCCUUUGUUGCCAGCGGUUAGGCCGGGAACUCAAAGGAGACUGCCAGUGAUAAACUGGAGGAAGGUGGGGAUGACGUCAAGUCAUCAUGGCCCUUACGACCAGGGCUACACACGUGCUACAAUGGCAUAUACAAAGAGAAGCGACCUCGCGAGAGCAAGCGGACCUCAUAAAGUAUGUCGUAGUCCGGAUUGGAGUCUGCAACUCGACUCCAUGAAGUCGGAAUCGCUAGUAAUCGUAGAUCAGAAUGCUACGGUGAAUACGUUCCCGGGCCUUGUACACACCGCCCGUCACACCAUGGGAGUGGGUUGCAAAAGAAGUAGGUAGCUUAACCUUCGGGAGGGCGCUUACCACUUUGUGAUUCAUGACUGGGGUGAAGUCGUAACAAGGUAACCGUAA